UACAGAGGUCUCGAGCGUUGUUCGGAUUCAUUGGGCGUAAAGGGCGCGUAGGCGGCGGGGUAAGUCUGGUGUGAAAUCUCGGAGCUCAACUCCGAAAUUGCACUGGAUACUGCUCUGCUAGAGGCUGGAGAGGAGAUCGGAAUUCACGGUGUAGCAGUGAAAUGCGUAGAUAUCGUGAGGAAGACCAGUGGCGAAGGCGGAUCUCUGGACAGCUCCUGACGCUGAGGCGCGAAGGCUAGGGGAGCAAACGGG
rnacentral:rRNA from 1 species